GCACUCUGCACUUCCGCACAACCUUCCUAGCUCCUGGGACCGAAUGGGUAGACCGCAUUGUCAAAUUCCACAAGGAAUUUAUGAGCGAAUUCAGAGGUUAAUAGUGAUAACUCUCACCUAGACGAGAUAUACAAAUACAUAGUUAGAUGGUAGGGAAUAUGCUGGCCGGCCAAACCCAUCCUGUUUUGAUUUCUAUUUAUUCUUAUUCUUCUACUUAUCAGCUCCUAUAAAAUCGACCUUGGGCUAUAGAAUUGUACUUCCAUAGAGAUAGAAACACAAUCCGAUCUAG
rnacentral:snoRNA from 1 species